rnacentral:misc_RNA from 1 species
UAUGCCAGCUAUUAUGGGAUUCAGACAAAGGUAAAAAAGGGAAAAGAAAUCAACAGUGAGCAUAACGAGGAUUGAAAGCUUGAGACAAAUUCAUCUUCAUCUCUAUCCUCCACUCAUCCAUCAUCAUCAUCAUGGUUGAUCCCUUUUCAAUUUCUUUUUUUAAGAUUAAUUUAUAAAUUCUGUUUUUUUUUUCUUAUUCUCUGCUGUUGUGAAGUGAAAAUGUUGGAACUGAUGUUGUUGAUGGUGUAGCAUAAUACAGGUUACAGUUUGAUACAGAAGAGAAGAUAAAUGUGAAUCAAGAAAUU